rnacentral:lncRNA from 1 species
CUUGCCUCUCAAGAUGAGAAGUGGCAGCUCUGAUUCUUAUGUUUUUCAUAGUGGCCUUCCAUGGGCAGUUUCAUUUAUGAUUCCUCUGCCAAAAUCAUUUUGAAGGCCAUUGAGUGGGUCCUCAUGUGUACUGAGCUGUAAGUAAUGGUUUUCUGUCUUUUUCCUUUCUGUCAACUGUUAGUUCUGGUGUCAGGAUGCCUGCUCCUAUACCUUUCCUCUUUGUUACUUUUAAUCUCUUAUAAUUCAAGAAUUCUAAUAACAAAAUAGUUAGAAAUGCAUUUAAGUGAAUAAAUAAUGCUCUUUGAUUGAAGUGCAAUGGCUUUAGUACCCCAGCUUUGUAAUGACUCUUUCAGUUGUUCUGCAUUCUUUUUUUAAGAUUUCCUGAUUCUUGACUGCAUUCUGGUUCUGGGAACUGGCCAAUUGGGGUGUUACCAUGGAGGGAUUUUUGGAGAUGGACAAAGGCAUCAUGAAGUAAAAUGCAAUAGCCAACUGUGUGUUUUUGUAACACUUUUGUCAAACAAAACUGUCAAGUCUUCAAAAAUCAGGUUUAAUCAUGUUCAUUAAGUACUCACUUUUUAAAUAGCAUUAUGACAAAUUUGUUUGAAAGAUAAACAAUAAAAUCUGUUACCUUGUCAGCAACUAAAUAUUUAACAUGCUGCAGAAUAGAUUACAGUAACCAUAUUUUCCAGAUGUUUUUUGAUGAGAAAGUAAUUUUAAAGCGAAAACUAAAAGGUUCUUUCAACGAAUUUUCAUUUCAGUGAAGAGCACUGUGUACAACCUAUAUAUAUUUAUACAAAAGACUGUUGUGUACAACUUUGUAUAUAUUUACUAUCUAUAGUGAUAACUGUUCCCAACCAUAUACACCAUUCUCACACCCAAGUAUAUAUUUUAUGUGGUACUUUAAAAUCAAAUUUUAGCUCUAUAGUAGUGAAAGGAAUUACCUCAUUCUUUCAACAUUUGACCAAAAUAUAAUCCACACAGAGAUUUUUUUAAAAAUAUGCAUAUUAAAAAGUAUAUUUAAUAGAAUUAUGUGUACUGUGCUAUGAAGACAUUUGGAAAGGCUGCAUGUCAAUAGAUAUUCAAAGACAAAGUGGCGGGGCUGGAGAUGUGGCUCAAGCGGUAGCGCGCUCGCCUGGCAUGCGUGCGGCCCGGGUUCGAUCCUCAGCACCACAUACAAACAAAGAUGUUGUGUCCGCCGAAAACUAAAAAAUAAAUAUUAAAAAAAAUUUAUUAAAAAAAAAAGACAAAGUGGCAUUUGAUUCUGUUUUUUUUCUGUUGUAUAAUGUAGCUGCUGGUGUGUUUGGCAUUUACAACCUUCCGUUUCUGAAGAGAAAUUAUUUUUAAAUAUGUAUAGAUGACAUAUGAAUGUUAACCCAUAAAAAGGGAGGGUAAGGAGGCAAAGUAUAGAAGUUUAUUGGGUUAGACAAAGGAGAAUGAAGGGAAGGGAGAGCAAAUGGGAAUGGGAAAGACAGUAGAAUGAAUCAGCCAUAGCUUUCCUAUGCUCAUCCAUGAAUCCAUCAUGAGUGAAACUCCAUAUCAUGUACAACCAAAAUAAUGGGAUCCUAAUUAGAAUGGGUUGUACUCUAUGUAUGUAUAAUAUGGCAAGGUAUACUCAACUGUCAUGUAUAUCUAAAAACAACAAAUAAAAAAGAAAAAUAUUUAUAGAGAAAAUUAUACAGCUAUUCUCAAGUGAGAAUGUAAUUAUAUGAGCAGAGAAACAUGGGUAAGUAGCAGCAUUGCUUCUGACUAGAGAAGAUAUGACCAACAUCUGUAGCUACAUAAGUAAGGGAAUAUAUUUUUGGUAUGAGAUUGAUAGAUGAAGGUUGGGAACAGAGAGUUAAAGGUUUAGGGGGAAAAAAGGUUUGAGAAGUAUGUGACAAUCUAUUGCAGAGAUUUGGGCUCAUCCAUGUAUAUUGAUAAAGUUUGUUUGAAACCUGUUGUUUCUGUUUUCAGGUCUCAUCAGUCAUAAUAUAUGUUUGGUUUUCUUAGUCUUAUAAAUUUUAAGAUUACUUGUUCAGAAGCUACAGCCUACUGUACUAUUUUUGUUUAUGUGCUGAGGUAAAGACAUAAGAAACCAGUGUGUCUUAAACUUUCUAAGUUUGUAUUAUUGAAGUUAGAAGUCUGGGUUUAGAAAUACAUAAGUUGAAAUACAUGUUAACUGCAUAGUUUCUGCAACUUGGGAUUGGUUUUAUAUUGUAUUUACCCAAUAACACUUUUUGACUUUGGUGUACCUAUGAAGUUAAUGCUGCCUUGGUGGAAAGUUUAAAUAGACAGUGAUUUCUCUCUGGCUGGUUACUAUAUGUGCUGCAUACUAUUCAGUUAACAUAAAAUAGGGGGCUGAUUUGAUAUUUAGACAUAUAAAAUAUCUGGUUCAAUAAUGUUUUCUUUUAAUAAUUAAAGUUUUCUUUGGAGCUUAGGGCAGGAUUGUAUUUUGUGGAAUUGAGGUUGUUGCUUUUUUAUUUCUUUCAUUUAUUACCAUGUAUAGUUCUUUUUACUCCAUCCUCAUUUUUUUCCUCCCUGAUUGUUACCGCUGUUGACCGUGACGAGUCCUUGCUUCCCCAAUGUUGAAGAAUAACACCCGAGAAGCACGCUGAGGCAAGAUCAGAGUAGAAAUUAGAAGUUUAUUAAAGGACAGCAGAAAAGACUUCUCCGGGAGGAAGAAGGGGACCCAAGAGGUGGAAUCCGUGUAAGUGCCGUUGUUUCCCCUUUUUAUAGUUCUUUCAGUGUUGGAAUGUAGGUUGGAAGGCCCGAGGGGUGGGACACAGGUGGGCCAAAGAACUAAUCUGGGCAGGAAGGACUUCAUUAACACCUCUUUGGGAUGGGCUAUCUUCAAAUCUGCUGGGGCUGUUCAUUAAAACUUCUUUGGGAUGGACUUUGGGCCUAGGGCUUUUCUUGGGACUUCAUUAACAUUUCAAGAGUUGCUCAACAUGGCCUCCAUUUUAGAUUUCACUCGAUAUUAGACCCCAUUUACCUAACUACACUGACUGCCUAAUUUUAAAUCUGGCUUCAUGAUGUCAUUUUGGAUAACUGAGGUGGUAGUGUAGUGCAUUGUUUUCUUAAGUCCCCUAAAUCCAUCUUAUUUUGGUAGUUAAAUAUGACUCUCUAAAAGUGACAAUGGAGGAUUGAGGGAAUGAUUCUCUUUUUAAAAAAUUUAUUUAUUUUUUAGUUGUAGUUGCACACAAUACCUUUAUUUAUAUGUGGUGCUGAGGAUCAAACCCAGGGCCUUGCACAUGCUAGGCGAGUGCUCUGCCACUGAGCCACAACCCCAGCCCUGAGGGAAUGAUUCUUAUAGACAUCUGUUUUAGAGCAUUUGUUUCUUGAACUAUAGUUAUAAGCAUAAAAACGACAUAAUUAAGUCUACAUCAUACUUAUCUGCUUGCUAAUUCUGUGGUACAUUUUGUCAUAAGUAACCUGUAACAAUUAUUAAUGAAACAUAGCACUAUGUAUAUGAUGCGCUUGUUUUUAUUUCACAGAAAAAUAUUUGCGGGGGGACAAAGGAAAAAAUAUCUUGGCAGUUCCAAACAUUGGUAAUACGCUAGAAGAACUCAUGGGACAAAGUAUAUCAAUGUACACAUGGCUAGGUUUAUUACAGAAAAAUGAUACACAAUGGGGUCAUCAAGGGAAAAAGACACAGGUGGAACUGGAUAAAUCCAGGCACAGUCUUCCCAUGCUGUCUUCUUCCUGUGAGGGAACACACAGCCUGCUCCUUUCUCCAGCAGUGAAAAAUGCAGUAUUAAAUGUGCUGUGUUUUGGCCAAAGGAAGACCAUUAGAGACUCAGCUUCCAAGGUUUUUAUUGGAAGCUAGUCACAUAGGCAUCCUCUGCCUAGCAACUACAAAAAUUCCAGACUCCCCAAAGGAAAGCAAGUGUUCAUCAUAAAUCACAUUGUACAGUGUAGGGAUAGCAAACCAGUCUUAUCAGUCCAGGGGAUGAUUAAAUGCCAAAUUCCCAAAUGCAAGCCAAGGGCCAACCUUGCAAGUAAGUCCUUCUAAAGACAGCUGCCUCAGACCUGCUGUGUUAACUCUUCUCUGUACUGUCCAUCCCCAGAGCCCUUGCUACCAACUCUUUACAAUAUGUAGUCAUCAAUAGGAGUCCAUGGGGCAUGGUCAGACCAACUUGCAGUAUUGACCUCAGUCAGGCUGUCCAUGGGGUCCUCAAUUUAGCCAGUGAAAGCAAAUUCCAUUAACCACAAGGUCUAUCUUAAAUUUCCUUAUGAAUCCUUUUUUUAUACUUGUCCUGAGGCAUCAAUAGACACAGCACAACUCUAGUCAGUCCAUUGAAGCUGAACUGAAUGCCUUCUAGGCUGAGGCAGUGUUCUGAUAGCAAGCACACAUUAGAAGUCCAAUCCCCGAGGGCACAGGUGGUAUCCCUGGAAACAAAGAGUUUAUAAAUUGUUACGGUACCUCAAGCAGGACAUGCAUUAUAUAUUUUAUUAAAUUUCUUACAAAACUUCCCUUUUAUUUCUUUUAAUCUAUAAUUUUAUGGAGUUUAUCUUGUGUUCAUUGUCAUUGCAAUAAUUACUAAUCUAUUUAUGGUUAGAACUUCGCCUUUAAAGUCAUUUUUUUCUACUUCUUUCUGCAGGAUUAUCAUUGGUGAUUGAGAGCCUCUUUUCCAGCAGUUUUACAGCUAUUUCUUUUAUGUAUGCAGUUCAUUAAUUCUUUACCAAACUUCAAAUCAUGAGCAUUGCAAGCACCAUUUUGUACUCUGGGUACACAAUGAUCAUAAUGCUGAUUUUCUUCUUUUUCACAGGUAACUGCAGAAUUACUUAGUAUGUUUCAGAUUCUCUAAAGAGUCUUGGAGACAUCCAUAAUGUAAUAAGCAUCAAUUAACAAUUAGUGGAAGGAAUAGGGAACAGAGUCAUCAUGUUCAUUUUUAAGCUUUGGGCAUCAAAGAUUACAAAGCCUGGGGAACUGGAGGGACCUUAUGUACUUAGCUGUGAGACUGUCCCUUGUGAAUCUUUUUAAGCAGUAGGGAUGUGUUCCAAAGCACAGAAAGGGUUAUGUGUAAUCACCUUUGAACAGCCUCCAAGCAUAAAAAUUAACCAACUUGAAUAACUUUUAAAUUAUAAAAUUAGAUUAAUUAAAUCUCUGGUCAUAUAAGUAAUUAUAUGUGAAGACAAGAUGUAUACUUGUCAGGAUUAUUCAUUUGAGCAUAUUAUUUGGGUUCAAAUGUGGUAGAAACUUUUGUUGAGAUUAGUGCUUGAAGCAGAUGAAAAAAUGGAAUAUUUUAUAAAAUGGUUCAGUUGGAGAAAUAAUGAAGUUGGAGAGCUUUAAGACCUUCUGAACAAAAUGAAACAGUUUCUUCUUGCCUCACUUUUAAGUUCUGGUUCUAGUUCAAGUCAUACCACUUGCAUAGAUCACACUGGAGAAUGUUUAAGUAUUUUCUUUGAUUUAAAUGUAAGGUUCAGGGGCUGGGGUUGUGGCUCAGUGGUUGAGCGCUUGCCUACACGUGUGGGGCCCUGGGUUUGAUCCUCAGAACCACAUAAAAAUAAAUAAACAAAAUAAAGGUAUAUGUCCAUCUACAACUAAAAAAAUAUUUAAAGAAAUGUAAGGUUCAACAAAUACAUAAAAAUUAACAAUGAAGGCUGGGGUUGUGGCUCAGUGGUAGAGUGCUUGCCUAGCAUGUGUGAGGCACUGGGUUGCAUCCUCAGCACCACAUAAAAUAAAUAAAUAAAAUAAAGGUAUUAUGUCCAUGUACAACUAAAAAUUACCUAAAAAUAUUAAUUAUGAAUAUUUCUUAGAAAUCCAAGCUGUAAGACAAAUGUCAACAUUAUUCGAGAAGCUAGGUAUCUUACCAGUGCUUCUUUUUAGAAGAUAACACAUGGAAUAUGGAUUGCCUUUUAUGUAUUAUUGGUCUCAACUCUUAGAAAAGACUAUACAGGCCUCUUGUCAUCUCUUGGUUGCCCAAAGUUUUAUUUACAACCAAAGGCCAGAGAGCUUCUCACAAUUCUAGUCUAACAAGGCUGCUUGUGUUUGAUUUUAGCCUUUUAUUGAAAUAUGCAUACACAAAAGCACAUGCAACCUAAGUGUACAGCAUGAUGGGUCAUUAAAAAGUGAGCCACCUUUGUAACUAUUGUUCACAUCCAUAAACAAUACAUGAUCAUUAUCCCUGAAGCCACUGCUGGGCCUCCUUACAGUCGUCUUCCACAAGGGCAAACACUACUACCCUGGCUGUUGAUAGAAUGGAUUAAUUUGGCCUGUAUUUCAUUGCAUAUAAAUGGACUUACAUACAUUACAUGCAUAUUUACAUACCUAUACACAGAAAGACAUGCUCUUUUAUAUCUUUUUAAAAUUUUUUAUUUGUUUUAAUUAGUUAUACAUGACAGUAGAAUGCACUUAUAUACUUUGAUAUAUCAUACAUAGAUGGGAUAUAAUUUCUCAUUUUUCUGAGUAUACAUAUUGUAAAAUCACAUUGGUCAUGCAGUCACAUACAUACAUACAGUAAUAAUGUCUGUUUCAUUCUACUAUCUUUCUUAUCCUCACAUCUCCUGCCUUCCCCUCCUUUCACUUCCCUCUACCCCAUCUAAGGUAAUGCUAUUCUUUUUUCUUUUUUCUUUUUGCAUUACAACUUUUAAUACACAUAUAUGCCACAAUUUUUGUAUCUCUGUUUGUAUAUAAAGUAUGUUGAUACCCAAUUCAAGUCUUCAUACGUGUACUUUGUAUAAUAUCUGGUUUCUUUAGCAGCUGGUUUCUUUCUUUCAAUAUGGCUUGUGAGAUUCAUCUAAAUCAUCAUGUGUAGAUGUAGUCUGUGUUUCUCAGAUCUUUUGUUUUGGAUCCCCUCCAUCCAACAUGGUGAGUUACUGGCUUUGAUAUUUAUGUAGUAUAAAAUUAGAUAUAUAGUAGUUCCCCCUUGUCAGUGGAGGAGACAUUCAAAGACCCCCAGUGAAAAAAAAAAAAGACCCCCAGUGAAUGCCUGAAACUAGGUAGUAUUGAAUACUACAUGUAUACUAUGUUUUUCCUCUUUAUCUACAUUCUUUUUUAAAAAAUAUUUAUUUUUUUAGUUGUAGUUGGACAUGAUAUCUUUAUUUUAUUUAUUUAUAUGUGGUACUGAGGAUUGAACCCAGGGCCUUGCAUUGCUAGGCGAGCGCUCUACCACUGAGCCACAACCCCAGCCCUAUCUACAUUCUUAUGAUAAAGUUUAAUUUAUAAAUCAGACACACUAAUAGAAUUGAUUCAAAUUGUUUAUUUCUGGAGUUUUCCACUGAGUAUUUUCAGAGCAUAGUUGAUCACAGGUCGUUGAAGCCACAAAAAGUUAAAGCACAGAUAAGAGGCAACUACUGCAUUAAGCACAAUCAUUUCAGGCUAUGUUUUCUUCAUUACCCAACACUUUGGCUCAGAUUGCCUUUUUCCGGUAGUCUUAUAACAGGUUCUUUUUUCAAAAUAGAUGUAAUCUUCAGUGGUCACAUUGCCAACAAAAAUCUUUUGCCAUUGGUUGGCUUCAUCGCAGCAUUCUAGUUUCUGACACCACACUAUGCUGAAUACUGACCUCAAAGAUCAAUAGUGAUCUCUUGAUAAAGUUAGUGGCCUUUCACUAUUCCUCACCCUCCUUGGCUUCUUUAAUUAAGACAAUGUAACACCUGUGGAAUUCUUUCAAUAUCAUUUGCAUUAUUGCAUUAUUCUCUAUGUUCUACUCUGUGCCUUCUCCUGUUUUCCUUCCUGUUCCUGUCACUUAACUCUAGCUUUUAUUAUCAUUUCAGUCCUUCCUUUCUAUAUUCUCUGUCUUAGAACUCAUUCAGUAUCAUGACUUCACUAUUUUCAAUGGUGACUGCUCCCAAAUUUGUAUCUUUAGCCAUAACCUCUAUCCAGCUGUAUCCUGAACAUUUUCAUGUUCCAGUGGUACUGCAAACUCAACAUGACCCCUGAAGAUGAAGUUAGGAUUUCCUUUCCUCCAAAUUGCUUAUCUUCAUAUCUUUUAUCUUUGACCAUCAUUGCUAAUCUCUGAUCUUCUUAGCUUAUUUUGAAGGGUUUCUUAAUAAACCCUUCUAUAAUUUAUAGCUAAUAAGCAUAAUUUCCCUAGUUACUUUCCUUAGGAAGCUUCUUAUCUGUUACCAUUCCUUUCUUUUUCUUCUUCGACAAGAUUGGUCUAGGUCUUUAUUCCCUUUUGCCUAGAUUCCUCAGAUUGCCUCCUAUUUAGUUUGCUGCACUGUAUUCUCUCCUUUUGUGUGUGUUACUGGGGAUUGAACCCAGAAGUUUUCUACCACAAAACUACAUCCUCAGUCCUUUUUGUUUAUUUUUAUUUUUAUUUUGAGACAGAGUCUCACUAAGUUGCUGAGGCUAUCUUGAACUUGUAAUCCUCCUGCCUCAGCUUCCUGAGUUGCUAGGGAUACUGGUAUGCACCACCCAUGUCUCUCCUUUUCUAACCCACUCUAUGAGUGGCCUGCUACCACAUAAACCUCUUUAUUUUUUGUAUAAUAGUACAAUUAAGACCAAGAUUAAUUUUUAACAGGUCAUCACAUAUUUAAAGCAUGUUCACAGAGUGCCAGAUACAUGCUAGGUUCUUGAGAUCUGUUGGUGAAGAAGACAGGUAAGUUGCCCUGUUUUUAUCAAUCUUAUAUUCUACUGGAAGGGAGAUAAAAUAAACAUUGUAGAUUUGGUGAACUUUUAAAAAGAAGUGAUAUUGAUGAAGAAGUGCAUAGUCAAAUAUUUCAAGUAGAGGUGAAAGUAUGUUCAAAAGCUCUGAAGUGGGAAGGAGUUUGACAUCUUCAGAGAAUAUGGAAAAGUUGAAGAUGGUAAGGUGGGAGAGUGGCACAAGUGUCAAUAGUGAUGUUAGAAGAGAAGAAGUGGUCAGAUCAUGUGACAAUCUUGUAAUCUAUAACAAGGUUGAAUUGUAGAACUGAUGGAAGUUGAGGGGGUUUAAAUAGGAUGAUAAUGCAUUCUUCUUAUUCUAAAAUUUUAAUAUCAUACUUCCUUCUCAAUAAAGAUCUAAACUCACCUUAGUGUUUGGGGUCCUCCACAGUGUAACCUCACUCUGAUACUCAAUGUAUUUUCUAAGACUCUUAAAGUUGAAUCAUUCAUUAAGUUCAGACCUCUCUUCUUUUGACUUUUUCAGCAUAAGUGUCCCUAACUAGACACAAUAGUUCCUUGACAGCAGGAACUAUUGAAACUGUUUUGUGUCCUUCAGAGUGCUAAGCACAUGGUUUUCCUUGAAUUGCAGUGAGUAAGGAAAACAAGAGAUAUCACCAGGGUAUUGUGUUUCCUUAUGUAUUCUAAAAUUAAAUUAUGGGUGUGGAAAUCUCCCAAGUAUAUUAUGGCUACCAUUCAUAUUAUGAAAAAACUAGUAAAAUCAUGAAGUGUGUUUUUGACAUCUGUUUUCCAGAACUGUUCCUUAAGAAGCCUUGUCAGCUUACAGAGUCUUAAAUGGCAUCUAUGUACUUUUUGUCAUUAUAUUUCCACAGCAGGAAGCAAUGCUUAUUAUGUCAUUGCAUUUUUGAGGAAGAAGUCCUAUUUUUGUGGUUUUGUGGUAAACCCAGGGGGGCUUUACUACUGAGCUACAUCCCCAGCUCUUUUAUUUUAUUUUAAAUUUGAGGCAGGGUUUCACUAAGUUGCUGAGAUUGGCCUGGAACUUUCAAUACUCCUGUUUCAGCCUCCUGAAUCACUGGAACUACAGGUGUAUGUCACUGAGAUUAUAGGUGUAUGCCACUGCACCCAGGAAAUAAGCCCUUUAAUAUUUAGACUUGGUAAUAUAGUUGUGCACAAAGUAUAAUUAUUAAGUGCUGAUUACUUUUGCUUGCUGUAGACAAAUGAUUUUUUUUAAAUUUUUUAGUUGUAGAUGGACACAAUACCUUUAUUUUGUUUAUUUAGUUUUUAUGAGUGCUGGGGAUCGAACCCAGGGUCUCACAAAUGCUAAGCAAGUGCUCUACCACUGAGCCACAACCCCAGCCCCCAUAGACAAAUGUUUUGAGUGAUUUUUUAAAACAAAAUGACACCUUUAAAAUUAGCAAUAUCUACCUAUGUAAAAAUUGCUGAGGAGUUUCACACUUAUAGAUUCACACUUAUUGAGAAUAAUUAUGCAUUCACCUAAUCUAACACUUUUCCUUGUGGCCACCACACUCCUCUUUGGUGCUUGAGUUCAUCUAUGGCAUCACAGCAGAAAUGUAGGACUUUGAAACUGUCACUGUGAAGCACUAUGAAUGUAGGAAGACACUUUGUUUAUGUAGUAAAUAUUUUCCAUGUUACUACAUAUCCUUCAUAUUUAUCAUCUUGUAGCUGCUUAAUCCAUUGAGAAGAUUUCCUAAUUGCUCCUUCACUUUUAAACCAUUUUUUAUUGCCAAUUUUGAAUUAUUUCCUUAAGAUAGUCUGUGAAGUAGGAUGGCCAUCAAAAAACAUUAAUACUUCUAUGGCUCUUUAUGCUUUCUAGCCAUCAAUAGUGUAUACCAGUUUUACCAUGGUCUUGGCUGGCUUUGAGUAUUAUUUUCCAAAAUAAAUAGCAGUUUUCUUUCUUUCUCUUUUCAUCUAGUGUGUCUAAAAUGGCACCCCAUUGUUUCCUUUCUCUCAUUUUUGGAGCCAAGGGAAGUGAUGUGCACUGUGGCUUCUCUAUCCAAUUUUCAUUUGAUAACACACUUACAGAUGUAUAAUGCCAAGUCAAAAUAGGACUCAGGUGACAGGGAGAGGAAGCAGAAACCACAACCCCUACCAAGAAAGGGUACUAGAAGAGAAACCUUGUACUUCUAGAGGUAAAUUAAGUUCAGUUAAGGUUGGAGGACUUACCCAAAUUCCAACUGGUUUUCAUUGAACUAGUUUGAUAGUUGCUCUUUUAUUUGUAUCAUGUUUUAUUUUAGAUAUUAACAAAUAAAUUAAGGUCUUGAGAAAACUAAUUGAAAUAAUAUUUCUAUUUUGAUGUAAGAGAUGUAAAAUCACAAUAAGCAGUUGAGUUUCCUUUGUCUUAAAGCCCAAUGCUGUCUUGUGUUAUAAUGAUGAAGUUUAUAGCAGUAUAAACUUUUGUUGACAUUGCUAUUGUGUGGUAAAUUAAAUAUCUUAUGAUGAUGAUAUAUAUUUUAGGCAAGUAAUUUGCAUUUAGCGGUAUUCUAUUAUUCUAGAGCAGUGGUUCUUGACCAGGGAUGAUUUGCUCUCCAGGGAACAUUUAGAAAUGUCUGGAGAUAUUUUUGAAUGUUGUGGUGGCAGAUGCGAUGACAUCUAGUGAGUAGAGGUCAGGGACAGUGUUAAACAAUUCUACAGUGUACUAAACAGCUUCCACAUAAAGAAUGAUAUGUCCCAAUCUUCAGUAGUGCCACUGUUAAGAAACCCUGGUCUAGAGUGUACUAUUUUUGAACCUCACAUUUACUUGGGAGGUAAUGCUAUUUUCAAAAUACAAUUUUGAUCAUUUUGAGACAUUGUGUUUCUAAACUGAGACUCUUAACCACCAAUCACUGGGCAGUGAUUAAAGUCAAUGUGAUACAAAGAGCUUUUAAUACCCAGAAGAAGUAUUGGGCAAGUGUAGAGCACUUUUCUGUUGGCUUUCUCACUGUCUGUGCUUUGAAUAUAUUUUUAUUCAUUAAAAGAAGCUAAUGAAGUUCAAUAUAUUUUGAGAGACUCUGCUGCAUAAUAUUUUAUCACUAAAUUAAAGUGAAGAAUCCUUGUUCUCACACAGAGCAAGAUGAAAUAUAGUACACUGAAGGAAAUGUCCAAUUAUCUUAACACAAAUGUUAGCAAUAAUGGGCCUUUUGUGUUUUAUUAUACCAAGUUGUUGCUAGCUCUACCUUAUUAAAAUUUUCAGUUCAGAAGACAGAUCCAAAAGAGAUAGAGAUAUAUUAAUGCUAAUCAUUAGCCAACCAACAAGCAUUUAUUAAGCUUCUUUUAUGAGCCUGGCGAUGUACUAAUUGAGAAUAUGGAAACAUUAAAAUAUGAUAUUAUUUGGUUUUUAUUGAGUUGACUAUAUGUGAGCUAUUUGCUUAUAUUUAUCUAAUUUAAUUAUCACAAUUAAUAUAAGGGUAGGUCACAUUACUUUUAUUACAUGGAUGAGGAAACUGAGGCCCAGAGAGUUGAUGUUCUAGGUCACUCAGCUAGUAAGUGAUGGUGCCAUGAUUCAUUCACACCCAAGUUAGUUUGGCUCCAGAGUUCAUUCUCUCAAAUAUAACUCUAUAUCCUCACCAAGAAAGGCAUUUUAUCUGAGCUGGAGCUAAACCAACAACCAGAGGAUGCCUAUGGAAUAUAUUCUGUGGUCCUCUAUUUGUCCAGGUGGACUACUCUCCCCACCCCCUCCUCCUUUUGUACUCCUGAGGAUUGAAUCCAGGGGAACUCUACCACUGAGCUAAAUCCUCAGGUGUUUAAGUUUUUCUUUUUGAGAUAGGGUCUCACUAAGUUGCCCAGGCUAGUCUUGAACUAAGUUGCCAUCCUAUUGCCUCGACCUUUCAAGUAGCUGGCAUUACAAGUGUGCACCACUAUGCCUGGCCAGGUAGACUGUUCUUAAUUAGAGGAAUUAAGACUGGAACAUGUGAAGCAAUACAAUAUCAUCCUCAGAAAUAUAUGAUGACAAUAGAAUAUCUCAAGUCUUUCCCAUGACCUCUCAACACUUCUUUAAAAAAAUAGAGGGAGUCUUUCCAUUUUUCUACAUUAUUCUAGGAUCAAGAGGGUCAAAUAUAUUUUAGAGGUAUAUAACCUCUAAAAUAAUUCCAUUACUUCUUCAAUUAUAGAUCAUUUUUAUUUUGGCUUACAUUUAUGAACCAAAGAAAGUACUGAAUUCUGUAGGCAAAUACGACACAGUUGUCUAUAUUCUAAAGGAUACGGAAAAUGUCUGGGUCAUAUUAUUUUUCUCAGGGCAAGUAGUUAUAGACCUAUUCCAAUUCUGGGCCUUAUGUUGGCCAGUAUUCUUCUGCUUUUGAGUAUCAUACCACAUAAUUUUCAAAGGAAAGGAAGAGUUCUGUUUCCCCAGAGGUAAGCAGAAGCUGUUCUCUGGCAUUAUCUUACUGUUCGCUUCACAUUUGCUAGCAUCUCAUUCCUGGGUUGGUUUCUGCCACCUCUACUCCUAGCUUUUCUUGCCCAAUUGAUAUUUAUUCUUUGAGUUUUUCUGCACAAUUUGAUUCCUGAUCAUCUCAGCUCCAUUCUAGAACAACCAGGGGCAGAACUGCCUUUGAGUCCCAGCUGUACUGCUUAUUGGUCAUAUGGUCUAAGUCAAAUCACUUUAUCUUUCUGAGCCUGUUGUUUCCUUGUGGAAUAAGAAAAAAAUAAUAGCACAUACCUUAUAAAAUUCAACUCGAUGUCCUCACAUACAUGAAGCAUUCAACCCACAGUCAGGCAUAUAGAAAGUAUGUAGUAAAUAACAAUAUAAUAACUUUCUUCUUCCUCCUCCUCCUUUUCUUCCUCCUCCUCCUCCUCCCCUCCUCCUCCUUUUCUUCCUCCUCCUUCUCCUCCUCCUCCUCCUCCUCUUCCUUCUUCUUCAAAUGCAAAUUUGAUCAUCUUAUUCUCUGGUUUAUGUAUCUUCAUGGGCUUCCAGUUGUCUCCAUAUCAAAUCCAGUCUUCUUAACUUUCCCCCAGCGACUGUGGCAGUCUUUUCUUCUAUAUGCUCUCUUUAAUGUUCCUUCAGUUCUCUAUCUCAUAUCCUUAAUGCUCCAACCCAUCUGCCAUGGUUCACAAUGUUUUACAACUAUCAGGGUUUUAAAAAAAUAUUUAAAUCUUAAUGUGUACUCUUCCCUUCUUUUCCCUCUGUAUGAAGUAGCUCUCUCCCAUCCUAAAAUGCUUCUGGACCUAGAUUUAUAGCAUCUUUUCUAUGAUGCCCUCUGUAAAUUUCUGCCAAUAAUUCAUUAAUUCAAUAAAUCUAUAUUGAAUAUCUUCUAGUUGUCAGGCACUGCCCUAGGGGCUGGGACUUUGGAAGUAAAGAAAAUUUUAAAGGGAUAAAAAUCUCAAUUCUCAUGGAGCUUGUGUCAUUAUGCAGUUAAUUUAAACAGCUCAAUAUAACAAACUUAUGUUGUCCACCUACAAUAUGUCCGGCACUUAUGUUAAGCACUGGGGUACAAAACUGAAUCGCUUAAUCCCUUGCCUCAAGGGGGUACUGUAGUUUGGAGAAAGAAGACUCCUAAACAAAUUACUUUCCUGCAGUGUGGUGGGGAGUCUGAUAAAGGUAAGCCCAGGUUUGUUAAUGCACCUAGCCCAAUCAUGGGGAGGAAAAGAGGAUCAAGGGGAGCCUUUUCUGGAGAAAGUGAUAAUUUGAGUCUUGAGAGAAGACUGAGUCUUUUCUUGUGUGAAUGAUGUUGAGAAUGGAACCAAGGGCCUUGUACAUGCUAGGCAAGUGCUUUACCACUGAGCUAUACCCCAGUCCUGAAAGGAGAUUGUCUUAAAAGUAAAAGGCAGAGCAGAUAACUGAAGAAGACAAUAUUAUAUGGAGAUCUGCAGAAAAUUUGGGGUUGUUAGAGUUUAAAUUUUAAGCUGUAGAAUGGCAGAAACAAGUCCUAGGAAAACAGGCAAGAACCAGAUCCUGCAGGGCCUUGUGUACUGACACUAAGGAGUUGGAAUUCUUAUCAAUUAUAAUUGUUGUUUUCAAAUUUAGGUGUGCAUCAGAUUCACUUGUGGAAAUUUCUUGAAAUGAACUAAAACCAAUAAAUCAGUUCCCAGGGCCCUCCCUGAGCUCCUGAAUCAGAAUCCAUGCUGAUUUGUAUUUUUAACAGCUUAAGAAGUUUCCAAUACUCCACAGCUUGAGUAGUUUUGCUAUGGGGAGCUACUAAAGGUUUUUAAGUAAGGGUAUAACAACCAAUUUUUUUUUGACAGAAUGGAGGAUGGAGUUGAGAGGAAAGCUGGAGGUUUUUCAGAUUAGAGAUGAAGAUACAGUGUCUAUGGAGAUGGACACACAGAUGGAGAAGAUGAAUUAAAAAGGAAUUGGAAUUUGCAAUUUUUUGUGACUGACAAGAUUUGGGUGCUAAAGGGAUAGGAUUUAAGGUAACUUCUCUGUCUCUGGUUGUGACCUCUAUAUAAAUAGUGUUAUGAAGUCGUAUAGCCACCAACUGAGAUUAUUCCCUAUCAGGGCCUCUUUUCUAUCUCUCAUACUACCUGCUAAGUGCCAGGCUCAGAGAAGGUACUUUAGGAAUGCUGAAUCAAAUAUGGCAGUGGGAAGUUAGGGCCGCAAGGCCCUUUUCUAAACAAACUUCUGUUUAUCAUUUGGUGCAAUGGUUGAAAUUCCAACUUUAGGAAAAUCCUUCUGCCAUAUUCACUGCCAUAAAUUUCUGUAAUUACCAGGUCUUGGAAUUUAGUGCCCACUGUGGCUGUGGGAAGACUUUAAAGGUUUGUAUAUAUUGAAUAGAAAGUGGUAGACUUGCAAAAUGGUUUAUUUAGCUAGUUUCUUUUCAUUAUUAUUAGGUUUUUGUGAGUGUGUGUAUGGUGCUGGGAUUGAACCCAGGGCCUUGUGCAUGUGAGGCAAGCACUCUACCAACUGAGCUAGAUACCCAGCCCUCUUUUCAUUAUUUUUUAUUGUACAUGUAUGACCACAUUGGGAAACCUUAGAAGAAAUAUGUAUUGGAUGCUAGUCCUAGGAUCAGAUUGGGAAUUUAUUUAAUCAUAAAAUUACAGGUAGAAAAGGGAAGAUAUAGAUUGAAACGAGCUUCUCUGUUGGUCUUGAAUUGCCUCAUUCAAUCCUGUGGUUGAGUUGUGUUUUGGAUAUGUAUCACCUGACCUCAUGAUAAAAAGUUAUGAACUGAAAAAGCAGCUAGGGCAUUUCUAGUAUCAGUUUAGAGCUUUCUCUGACUUGGGGCAAAAGUAAGCAAAGACCUCAGGGUGAUAAUUCUUCCUUCUCUUGUCCCAUCUUCUUUUAUCUACUCUUGAAUUGUAACAUAAGCAAUUGGGCUGUGGAAAAUUAUUUAAUUUUUCUAAAUUCUUUAAGUUGCUUUUAAUUUGUAUGAUUCAUUUGGCCUUUGAAGUGUAAUUUUACCCACCUCUCUUCAUACUUACCUAUGUUUGUUUACAAGGAAAGGUAGGAAGAGAAAAAGGAAAGAAAGGAAAAAGAAGAAAGGGCAUGUUAGUCCAGAUGUUCUGACUCCUGGAUGCAUGUUGGGAUCACCUGGAGAGGUUUUCAAAAUCUUGAUACUAAAUGAAAUCAGAAUUUCUGGGCUUGUGAUCCAGGCAAUAGUAUUGGUUAAAUAUCUCCAGUUGAUUCCAAUGUGCAAUCAAUGUUGAGGACUAUUAUACAAGUUGGAUACAGCCCAUGUAAUUACAUAUUUCAAGCCCCAGAUCAGAACAUAUAUGAUAGCUAUCAUUUCUUGAGUGCCUGUUCUGACAGGGAUUCUGAUAUCCUUAUCUUUUUCUCAGGAAAAACCUUAAUUGGGUGACAGUACAAUUACUUUUCACAUAUGAGGAACGGAGGAGGUAGGUAGCUUACUUUAUAUCCUAUAGCUGGAGGAUACAGCUAACUCCAAAGUCCAGAUUCUUUAACGCAGCUGACUAUUACAACAAUGUGAGAUUGAUGGGGUUUAUGUUUCAGAUAUGAGACAAUUAUGUGUUGUAGGGAGAGCAUCAAAAAGUUGAGAAUUUAUAGACAUUUCAGUGACUUAUAGGAAAUAUAGGCAGCAAAUUGGAAUCACAGCUGAUUUAGAAUCAGACACAUGUUAGCUAUAGCUGACAUCUCCUAAAUCUUUGAAAUCACUAGAUUUCGAAAAAGAAGCCUAGAUUUUUUCCACUGAGUAAAUGGGGAAAUCAAGACUGUUUUGGUUCAAGACCAGUCAAUCUAGGAGUUGAACCCAUUUGAGGAGAGCAUUGGCAAUGGCUGUUCCUACCACUUCUUUCGUAGUGUUUUUAAGAGUGGGCUGGCGAGAAUGUGGGGGAAAACGUACACUUACUUGUACAUUGCUGGUGGGACUGCAAAUUGGUGCAGCCAAUUUGGAAAGUAAGGAGAUUCCUUGGAAAGCUGGGAAUGGAACCACCAUUUGACCCAGCUAUUCCCCUUCUUGGACUAUACCCAAAAGACCUAAAAAGAGCAUACUACAGGGACACAGCUACAUCAAUGUUCAUAGCAGCACAAUUCACAAUAGCUAGAAUGUGGAACCAACCUAGAUGCCCUUCAAUAGAUGAAUGGAUAAAAAAAUGUGGCAUUUAUACACAAUGGAAUAUUACUCAGCACUAAAAAAUAACAAAAUCAUGGCAUUUGCAGGGACAUGGAUGGCAUUAGAGCAGAUUAUGCUAAGUGAAGUUAGCCAAUCCCUAAAAAAACAAAUGCCAAAUGUUUUCUUUGAUAUAAGAGGGGCGACUCAAAACAGAGUAAGGAGGAAGAGCAUGAGAAGAAGAUUACCACUAAACAGGGAAGACAGGUGGGAGGGAAUGGGAGGGAGAAGGGGAAUUGCACGGAAGAUGGAAGGAGACCCUCAUCGUUAUACAAAAUUACAUAUAUGAUGGUGUGAGGGGGAAGAAAAAAAAAGAGAGAAAUGUGUCACAGUAGAUUGGGUAGAGAGAGAGGUGAUGGGAGGGGAGGGGGGAUAGGGAGGGCAGCAGAAUACAACUGACACUAGGAUUGCUGUAUGUAUACACAUGGAUGUAUAACCAAUGUGAUUCUGCAAUCUGUACACGUGGAAAAAUGAGAAUUCAUACAGCAUUUGAAUCAAAUGUAUGAUAUAUCAAGAUCAUUGUAUUGUCUUGAGCAACUAAUAAAAAAAAAACACCCAGUUUAAAAAAAAAGAGUGGGGCUGAAAAAUCUAAUAGAAUCUGCUUGUACCUCUACUGAAAAUUCUAUAGAAUAUAGUGAUCAUGAGUUCUAGUUUCUUGCUGUAUGACCUCAGGCAAGUUAUGUGUUCCUCCACACUUCAGUUUUUAUCUGCCAAAUGGCGUUAGUAACAGCCCUCACCUCAAUGGGGUUUUGCAUAGAUUCCAUGUGAUGAUGCCUCCAAUGCUCCUAUACAGGGCUUGGCAUAUGUAAUAUUCAAAAAGUGUUAGGGCUUAAUAUUGCUAACAUUUUUGUUCAAUAUACAUUCAUUCUUUAGAAAAUCUGUUUAAUAAAAAUGGCUUUUUUUGAAGAAAGAAAGAAAGAGAAAGAAAGAAAGAAAGAAAGAAAGAAAGAAAGAAAGAAGCAAGCCUGGAGUAAGAACAGCUACUAUCAUCCCAUUUUUCUACUGAGAAAACAGAGGCUUGGCAAGAUUGUCACUUGCUCCAUGUUAGACACUGCAGUAUUUUGUCAUUCUAUGUCCAUCAUCUUAAUCACUAUACUAUACUGACUUUUUUUGUUUGGGGAAGUAUACCAGGCAUUGAACUCAGGGGUACUUAAGCACUGAGCAACAUCCCCAGCCUUUUUUUUUUUUUAAUUUAUUUAGAAACAGGGUCUCACUGAGUUGCUUAGGGCCUCACUUUUGCUGGGGCUGGCUUUGAACUCGUGAUUCUCUUACCUCAGUCUCCUAAGCUGCUGGGAUUUCAGGCGUGCACCAGCGCACCCAGUUUAUACUGGGUCUUCAUAAGGAGCCUUGAGGAGUAGAAGCAGGUAGUAUGAUGAUAUAUUGCAUUGGAACUUAUUUUAAGUUUGUCAGCUGUCAAAGAAAAAUGUACCAAAACCUGCUUCAAACUUCCCAUAAUCUUGUUUUUGAGGAAAAUGUUUUCCUAGAUGAGUUGUCUUGAAUACCCUCAUUAGACUAUGGAAUCUGGAAAUCCUAUUAGAAUUUUCUUUAAUUAAGUCAUUAAAGAUAAUACCAGUUGAAAGUUUUUCUUGGAAUAUAAACAUCAAUGAAAUAAUGUAUUAAAGAAAAGUAUCUUCUUUUGUCCAUGCUCUGCUCUGUCUAUUCCAUAUGUUUAUGCUUAUGUAAUAUUCACAUUGGUAUGAUGCCUGGGAGUUGUUUAAGGGCUGGCUUUCUUUACCUAAUACCACAUUAUAAAGAUUGCCACACACUGCUAAACAGUCUUUACAUUUUUAUGACUAUAUUAAUUUUGUUGAGCACUUAGGGCUGAAUUUAGAUAUUCAUCUACUUUGGGAGUAUUUGGUUUGUUUGUAAUUAAUUAUUCAGUGUUGUAAACCAUAGUAUUAUGAUCAUAUUUUUGUAGGCAAGUUUUUAUUCUGUGGUGUUGUUUCUUUAUGAUAAAUUCCCAUGGGAUAUUUUUCAAGUUUAAUAAUAUAAAAACUUGAUUUUGAAUGCUAAUAUAUGAUCUGGGCAUAUAAAUAGAUUAUUUUCUCUUUGCUACAUGUAAUGAUAAUUGUUUCUUACAUUUUCUAAACUGAAGCACGUUGUAAGAAGUUUGUUGUAUCAGAAAUUAGUUUUGGAUGUCUUUGAAAUGGAGAACUUCAACUGCUCAUUUUUUUUUUUAUUUUUUUGACUUUGGUUAGAGACCUGAAAAAUUCAAUCAGAUGGAUUCUCACACCCAUUAGCAGGUGACUGCUCAGGCUCUGCUGCUCAUCCUGUUUGCUCCGCAAGAGAGCCUGGUGAUUUUCAUUUGACAAUGUACAGGUCUUGAGAUUUGGAGAUUCUGUAGCCCACCUCAAAACUCAUGUCCUUGGUGUUCUUGAGAAAGCUACUUUGAUUUGCUAUGAUGUCUGGUUAACAAAGAUCUUUUUCAUUUUAUUUCAGGGACAGUUGGAUUUCCCCCCUGCUUCUUGUUUAUGACUACAGUCUUCAAUGUGGUGAAAGUGGAUUAAAGAGUUUCCCCCAAAGGCUUCCAGGCAUAUCAUCCUUGCCUUUGAAUAUCUGUAUCAACAUCAAUAGAGAUAUAUGUGUAUGCUCCUAAUUAUAUAAAUUUUAAUUAUAUAUAAAUGUAAAAAUCUCA